rnacentral:rRNA from 1 species
GACGAAGGGGGCUAGCGUUGUUCGGAAUUACUGGGCGUAAAGCGCGCGUAGGCGGCUCUUCAAGUCAGGCGUGAAAGCCCCGGGCUUAACCCGGGAAUAGCGCUUGAUACGUGUUGGGCUUGAGUCCGGGAGAGGAUAGUGGAAUUCCCAGUGUAGAGGUGAAAUUCGUAGAUAUUGGGAAGAACACCAGUGGCGAAGGCGGCUAUCUGGACCGGAACUGACGCUGAGGCGCGAAAGCGUGGGGAGCAAACAGGG